rnacentral:rRNA from 1 species
AUUGAACACUGGCGGCAGGCUUAACACAUGCAAGUCGAGCGGAGAUGAGGUGCUUGCACCUUAUCUUAGCGGCGGACGGGUGAGUAAUGCUUAGGAAUCUGCCUAUUAGUGGGGGACAACAUUCCGAAAGGAAUGCUAAUACCGCAUACGUCCUACGGGAGAAAGCAGGGGAUCUUCGGACCUUGCGCUAAUAGAUGAGCCUAAGUCGGAUUAGCUAGUUGGUGGGGUAAAGGCCUACCAAGGCGACGAUCUGUAGCGGGUCUGAGAGGAUGAUCCGCCACACUGGGACUGAAGCACGGCCCAGACUCCUACGGGAGGCAGCAGUGGGGAAUAUUGGACAAUGGGGGGAACCCUGAUCCAGCCAUGCCGCGUGUGUGAAGAAGGCCUUAUGGUUGUAAAGCACUUUAAGCGAGGAGGAGGCUACUGAGACUAAUACUCUUGGAUAGUGGACGUUACUCGCAGAAUAAGCACCGGCUAACUCUGUGCCAGCAGCCGCGGUAACAC